rnacentral:rRNA from 1 species
UACAGAGGUGGCAAGCGUUGUUCGGAAUUACUGGGCGUAAAGGGCGCGUAGGCGGUUCGGCAAGUCUCUAGUGAAAUCUCUGGGCUCAACUCAGAGUCUGCUGGGGAAACUGCCGGGCUUGAGUGUGGGAGAGGAGAGUGGAAUUCCCGGUGUAGCGGUGAAAUGCGUAGAUAUCAGGAGGAACACCGGUGGCGAAGGCGGGUCUCUGGGCAGUAACUGACGCUGAGGAGCGAAAGCGUGGGGAGCGAACAGG